rnacentral:rRNA from 1 species
GUCCGCCCGGCGUCUCGAUUAUCGCGUUCGUUCGAUGCAUUUCCGGAGGGUAUGCGUCACGACCGAUGCGAAACGCUAGCGAAUCGUCGAAUGAGGUGGAAACCCUUCGUGGGUAUUCAAUACCAGUUCGUCGGUUAUAUGUCGCUAGACCGGAGCAUCGAGGGCCGAAUAUAUAGAGAACGCCGGCAAAACAUGCUCGCUUAAGCGGCGGAUAGUCGCCGGAACGAUCCGUACCUGCUCGCAGGUUAUGGUCGUCUCCGUUCGGCUUUUGAAACCGCGGACGAGUUAUACGGCGUUCCGGCGUCUGUGGCGUCCGAGACGGUCAACCGUCCGACCCGUCUUGAAACACGGACCAAGGAGUCUAACGUACGCGCGAGCUAAUGAGCGGAAAACUCAUAAGCGCAAUAAAAGUAAAAGCCGUCUCCGGCGGCGCGGGGUACGAUCCCGGCGUGUUUAAACGCGCGCCGGGCGCAGUACCAUCCCAUCCUGAUCGCUCGUCGAUAGGGUGGAGAUUGAGCGCGUACGUUGGGACCCGAAAGAUGGUGAACUAUKCCUGAGCAGAGCGAAGCCAGAGGAA